rnacentral:lncRNA from 1 species
GGGGGAUAUCUGUGUGUGCAGGUGACUAUUACUGUGCAUAAUUAUUAGGCAACUUAACAAAAAACAAAUAUAUACCCAUUUCAAUUAUUAAUUAUUACCAGUGAAACCAAUAUAACAUCUCAACAUUCACAAAUAUACAUUUCUGACAUUCAAAAACAAAACAAAAACAAAUCAGUGACCAAUAUAGCCACCUUUCUUUGCAAGGACACUCAAAAGCCUGCCAUCCAUGGAUUCUGUCAGUGUUUUGAUCUGUUCACCAUCAACAUUGCGUGCAGCAGCAACCACAGCCUCCCAGACACUGUUCAAAGAGGUGUACUGUUUUCCCUCCUUGUAAAUCUCACUUUUGAUGAUGGACCACAGGUUCUCAAUGGGGUUCAGAUCAGGUGAACCAGGAGGCCAUGUCAUUAGAUUUUCUUCUUUUAUACCCUUUCUUGCCAGCCACGCUGUGGAGUACUUGGACGCGUGUGAUGGAGCAUUGUCCUGCAUGAAAAUCAUGUUUUUCUUGAAGGAUGCAGACUUCUUCCUGUACCACUGCUUGAAGAAGGUGUCUUCCAGGAACUGGCAGUAGGACUGG